rnacentral:rRNA from 1 species
UGGGGAAUCUUAGACAAUGGGGGCAACCCUGAUCUAGCCAUGCCGCGUGAGUGAUGAAGGCCUUAGGGUCGUAAAGCUCUUUCGCCUGUGAUGAUAAUGACAGUAGCAGGUAAAGAAACCCCGGCUAACUCCGUGCCAGCAGCCGCGGUAAUACGGAGGGGGUUAGCGUUGUUCGGAAUUACUGGGCGUAAAGCGCGCGUAGGCGGAUUAGAAAGUUGGGGGUGAAAUCCCGGGGCUCAACCCCGGAACUGCCUCCAAAACUGCUAGUCUAGAGUUCGAGAGAGGUGAGUGGAAUUCCGAGUGUAGAGGUGAAAUUCGUAGAUAUUCGGAGGAACACCAGUGGCGAAGGCGGCUCACUGGCUCGAUACUGACGCUGAGGUGCGAAAGUGUGGGGAGCAAACAGG